rnacentral:rRNA from 1 species
GACGAACGCUGGCGGCGUGCUUAACACAUGCAAGUCGAACGGAAAGGCCCCUUCGGGGGUACACGAGUGGCGAACGGGUGAGUAACAUGUGAGCAAACUGCCCUUGACUCUGGAAUAACAGUUGGAAACAGCUGCUAAUACUGGAGAUUCAUCGUCUCCUUCCUGGGGGGGGGUGGAAAGCUCCGGCGGUCGGGGAUGGGGUCGCGGCCUAUCAGCUUGUUGGUGAGGGAAUGGCUCACCAAGGCUUCGCGGGGUAGCCGGCCUGCGAGGGGGCCCGGCCACACUGGGACUGCGAUACGGCCCAGACGCCUUCGGGAGGCAUCAGUGGGGGAUAUUGGCCAGUGGGCGCAAGCCUGCUGCAGCGACGCCGCGUGCGGGAUGACGGCCUUCGGGUUGUAAACCGCUUUCAGUAGGGACGAAGGGUGACUGACGGUAGCUACAGAAGAAGGACCGGCUAACUACGUG